UCCUACGGGGCGCAGCAGUGAGGAAUAUUGGUCAAUGGGCUUACGCCUGAACCAGCCAAGUCGCGUGAGGGAAGACUGCCCUAUGGGUUGUAAACCUCUUUUGUCAGGGAGCAACGCCGGCUACGUGUAGCCGGACUGAGAGUACCUGAAGAAAAAGCAUCGGCUAACUCCGUGCCAGCAGCCGCGGUAAUACGAAGGAUGCGAGCGUUAUCCGGAUUUAUUGGGUGUAAAGGGCGUGUAGGCGGGAGAGCAAGUCAGACGUGAAAUUCCAGGGCUCAACCCUGGAACUGCGUUUGAAACUGUUC
rnacentral:rRNA from 1 species